rnacentral:rRNA from 1 species
CUACGGGAGGCAGCAGUGGGGAAUAUUGGACAAUGGGGGAGACCCUGAUCCAGCAAUGCCGCGUGUGUGAAGAAGGCCUGCGGGUUGUAAAGCACUUUCGGUUGGGAGGACUGCUUCUAGCACUAAUAUUGUUGGAAGUUGACGUUACCUUCAGAAGAAGCACCGGCUAACUCCGUGCCAGCAGCCGCGGUAAUACGGAGGGUGCAAGCGUUAAUCGGAAUUACUGGGCGUAAAGCGCGCGUAGGCGGCUAGAUCAGUCGGGUGUGAAAGCCCCGGGCUUAACCUGGGAACUGCAUCCGAUACUGUCUAGCUUGAGUACAGGAGAGGAGAGUGGAAUUCCACAUGUAGCGGUGAAAUGCGUAGAUAUGUGGAGGAACACCAAUGGCGAAGGCAGCUCUCUGGCCUGAUACUGACGCUGAGGUGCGAAAGCGUGGGGAGCAAGCAGGAUUAGAUACCCGAGUAGUC